CUGGAAUGGGGAUUUUUUCUAUUAGAGCCCUUGUGGAGCAGUCUGCGUCUGGAGGGGUUUGUGUUCUCUCCCCGCAAGGGUAUAAAACAAGAGGAUUGCACAGUUCAAGGACCCAGAGGUGGCGUGAUGCAGGGCUGUCUGGCUGAGUCUGCAGGCAGCCUGAGACACUAGCUCUAAGAGACAGGUGGAAAGAAGAAAAUCCUGAGAUUUUACAGACCAGUUCAAUGUGGGUCCCCACACAGCAAGCACUGACCGUGGGACCCAACGGGCAAACAGUUUCUAUGCAGUACAGGAACAGUGGUGCUGUCAGCUGCAUAGCUGAAUCUUGAUGACGCCUGCGUUCCCACGCACUGCCUGCCAGUUCAUGACCGCAGUUUCUGUCCAAUCAGAGCAGAGAACACACAGUGUCCUAUGCUCCUAGAGGGUUUGCCCUUUUGACAGGGCUGGAGACUGGCUCCCUUGCGUUAGCCCUGGAGCAGGUACAGCACAGGGCAGCAGCCCUGCCCUUCCCCACAGCUCUGCCAAGGCACCUACCGAUGGCCUGCAUACUCCCCCCCACCAUUUCAGUCCUGCCAAUACACCUGGCCUCCCCAUGCUGCUCCAGUCCCCACAUACCUCUGCAGAUGCACCUCACUCCUGACCUGCAGGAUCCCCCUGCUGUUCCACUCCGGGCUCCCCUAAGAACCUAUCAGCCUGACCCUGCAGUGAUUCCAUGCUACACAAAUAACCCCAGCUGAGGCCACUGCACUCGUUUCACUUGUGGCCUGAAGCCAAAUACAAUCUUCAAUGUCUCCAGUGGUUACACCCACCUCCUCCUCCAGUGUCCAAGGGGCUAAUCAGAAACAGCAAUGGAUGAAGGGAUGCUCCCCUGUCCUCUCCCCCAUAGAUCCCACGGGUACAUGGGGUGUGGGACAGGGAAGGGAAGCUCACAGCACAGCCGUUAACAGUCUGGUUUGGCUGGGACAGUUCUGGGUUUUGAAAACCCAGCUUCGUCCUGCUGUUCCAGCCAGUGUUCUGGGACCGUGGGGCA